GAAGCCAAAACAAAGCGAAAGAAAACAGCAUUCAAAGUGGAAUGUCUAAUUUUGUGGUAAGAAUCGCCAUUCGUAACCGCUGAAGCAGGAAGAUCUGAUCGCUACCCCUGAGUGAGAGGGGUGUUUUCAGAGCAAUCAAAGCAAUCACGACAACGAAAGAGGGCCGGAUUCGCAAAUGUGUGUUCUCGGGUUAUGGAUUUAACAUAGUAUAAAUAGAUUCGGCAAGAGAUUGCGCGGCAUAAGACUCUCUCGACCUGUUAAGCCCAUACUGAAAUUUCAGGACAUUCAUGAAUCUACUCGAGCUCUUUGGCAGUCCUUACCCACCUUUCAUGUAAAAAGGCGACUCGCAAAUGUUUAUGGUUCUAAGGGCAAGUACCUCCUACUAAACUCCUUAUUGAAAACGAAAGCGACACCCCUUGUUGAAAUAAGAUUCAAUAAAGCAGACCAC
rnacentral:lncRNA from 1 species